UGUGCCAGCAGCCGCGGUAAUACAGAGGUCUCAAGCGUUGUUCGGAAUUACUGGGCGUAAAGGGUGCGCAGGCCGCGCGGGCAGUCAAAUGUGUAAUCCAGGGGCUCAACCCCUGAACUGCGCUUGAUACUUCCGCGCUCGAGCUUUGGAGAGGAGUCUGGAAUUCUCGGUGUAGCAGUGAAAUGCGUGGAUAUCGAGAAGAACACUUAGGGCGUAGGCAAGACUCUGGACAAAUGCUGACGCUCAUGCACGAAGGCUAGGGUAGCGAACGGGAUUAGAUACCCCGGUAGCCCUAGCUGUAAACGGUGCACGUUUGGUGUGGGAGGCAACCCCUUCCGUGCCGAAGCUAACGCGAUAAACGUGCCGCCUGGGUAGUACGGUCGCAAGACUAAAACUCAAAGAAAUUGACGGGGACCCGCACAAGCGGUGGGGUAUGUGGCUUAAUUCGAUGCAACGCGAAGAACCUUACCAGGGCUUGACAUGUAUUGUAACCCCGGUGAAAGCCGGGCAGCGUAGAAAUACGCGCUUUACACAGGUGCUGCAUGGCU
rnacentral:rRNA from 1 species